AUGGCGCUGCCCAUGCUCUCACAGACACCAUAAUAUGACAGAUUCAAAGAUCUGAUGUCUAUCUAGGUCGACUGCUUCUCUGUAUAGCACUUACCCUCCUCUAAAAGCCAACGUGAACCAUGUCUAUCUAGGUCUACUGUGCUUCUCUGUAUAGUACUUACCCUCCUCUAAAAGCCAACAUGGACAAUGUUUAUCUAGGUCUACUGUGCUUCUCUGUAUAGUACUUACCCUCCUCUAAAAGCCCACAUGAACCAUGUCUAUCUAGGUCUACUGUGCUUCUCUGUAUAGUACUUACCCUCCUCUAAAAGCCCACAUGAACCAUGUCUAUCUAGGUCUACUGUGCUUCUCUGUAUAGUACUUACCCUCCUCUAAAAGCCCACAUGAAUCAUGUCUAUCUAGGUCUACUCUGCUUCUCUGUAUAGUACCAUGUCUAUUAUUCCUCCACUAGAUGGAGUCAUUCCUUAAAUCAUAUUCAGUUGUAAAUACUCCUUAUGGAAGCUGAAUUGGGUUAAACGGUAUGAGUUCCUCUU
rnacentral:lncRNA from 1 species